rnacentral:rRNA from 1 species
AAUAGAUACCCGGGUAGUCCACGCCGUAAACGAUGAGUGCUAAGUGUUAGGGGGUUUCCGCCCCUUAGUGCUGCAGCUAACGCAUUAAGCACUCCGCCUGGGGAGUACGGUCGCAAGACUGAAACUCAAAGGAAUUGACGGGGGCCCGCACAAGCGGUGGAGCAUGUGGUUUAAUUCGAAGCAACGCGAAGAACCUUACCAGGUCUUGACAUCCCAUUGACCACUAUGGAGACAUAGUUUUCCCUUCGGGGACAACGGUGACAGGUGGUGCAUGGUUGUCGUCAGCUCGUGUCGUGAGAUGUUGGGUUAAGUCCCGCAACGAGCGCAACCCUUGUUCUUAGUUGCCAUCAUUUAGUUGGGCACUCUAAGGAGACUGCCGGUGACAAACCGGAGGAAGGUGGGGAUGACGUCAAAUCAUCAUGCCCCUUAUGACCUGGGCUACACACGUGCUACAAUGGACGGUACAAACGGUUGCCAACCCGCGAGGGGGAGCUAAUCCGAUAAAACCAUUCUCAGUUCGGAUUGUAGGCUGCAACUCGCCUACA